rnacentral:sRNA from 1 species
CCCAGAGAUUAAAUGCCAGUUUCAGCUUUGAGACACCCUCCCCGAGUUAUUGGGCUCUUGGGUUGCUGCCUGUGUUUAUCCCACCGUGUGCAGUGAGAGUUGAGGGUUUUUAUUGUUAUUUUUCCCUCCGUCGAGGGUUGCAUAAUGAUUAACAGUUGGUCAGAGAGGUCGUUCAAGGGGCACAGUUUGCUUCGAUUCCACACAGACCCGAACAUGGCCUGGCUUCUCAUUCGGAGCAGUGUCCCUUGCUGGAGAAACAGAACCUGUCUGAGGAUUUCUGUCUUGAACUGAUAAGGUUGCGGUAGGGCACAAUGGGAUUUUUUUUCCCCCUUAGGCUCCCAGAGUCCAGCAGAGCAGUAUCCAUGUGGACUUCCGCUGUCCUGCCAGAAUUCCAGGAAACUAAGGCAGAAUGGAAAGUUCCAGGACCCCCAAUGUGCCCGUCCCAGAAGUAUAUUGUGGGCCAACACUGUAUGCCUCUGUUCUGGCCCUAAGGGUGCAAUUAAGUCCCUGGGUGAUUCCUACUGAGACCGAAUAGCACCGGAAGUGCAAAAUAAAGCCGCAUUCCUUGGUCUGAGGGAGAAGCAAGGAUCAGUGUCAGCAGUUUUUCCUCCCACAAUGGUGAAACAGCAUUUCCUCAAGAGCGAGAUCCUGUUUUCAGUUCUGCACCGUGGUGUCUGACGCACCGAGAACGCGCCGAUGGAAGGAACUUAAGGACGGUUGUUUCAGCUCACAUGUCAAGGGUACAGGCUACCGUUCUGGGGAAGUCACGGCAGCAGAGACUGAGGUAGCCCUUCACGUUGCAGAGAAGCAGCAAAGGGUAAGGGAUGAAUGCGAGCAUGUUAGCAAUCAGUCCCCUUCUGCUUCCUCAGGUGCAGAGCCCACAAUUAGGUGGAUCUUCCUGCAACACUUUACGUAGCCAGGACACCUACCCCACCCAUACUCAAGGUCCCUUCUCCCAGACGAUUCCAGAUUCUGUCAAGUUGACCAUCUUCAUACUUUUUGAUAGAAAGAAAACAUCCACGUCCUUCAUUUGAUUGGACAAAACAAUUCACAUAGACCCACCUCUUCUGCCUGGGUAGGAGAAGCUAUAUAAAUUACACCGCCACUUACAACAUUAUCUGGAGCUAAUCCAGAAAGUGGCAAAUGACCUUCAGCCAGCAGUUCUCAGACUGUGACCUACACCUCAGGACUUACUAGAAGUCCUGGUUCUCAACGGGACUCCUCACCACCACAUGGGAAACUCUGGUGACCGGCUCAGCACAGUUCAUUGUGACAACCACUCCACAGAAUAUUAGGUAACAAGAUGCUUCAGGAGAGUAUAGUCCUUCUGGCUAAAAUUCCCAAAACGGCAAAAUAAGUCACUGCCUGUCAUUUUCUGAGGAGGAGAGGAAGCAAAACCUGUUCUUAAUCACUGGGCAGCUGGUAUGUUUUUAAUUGUCUGCGUUUAUAAGCAGUAAUGUAAGAGCAGCCUUCAGUAUGCUUAUGUAGUGUUUCCCCACACUGCUGUAUACCACAGCCCUGGGAACCUGUUACACAGGCAGAUUGUGCACCCUGGAGGCUCUGAUUUAGGGAGGGGGGUUGAUUUUUUAACGAGCAUCCCAGCAAUUCUGGUGCAGGUGGGUCGGAGACCACACUUUCUGAAACCCUGCCCAGGGCCUACCCAUAAUUUACAUGCUUAUUAUCCUAGGGUAUCUAAAAGUGGCUGGCAAUUCAUAAAAUACCAGUUUAGUGCCAAUAAAGAUUUAACUGCGAGGAGUAGAUGUUUAUUGCAAUAGAAUCUCUUUUGUUGGACCUUGGAGAAAAUGAGUAAUCAUUACAAAAUAAGUUUUUAUUUAAAAAAUGUCAUACUGUGUUUUUUGGGGGGGCAGUUUUAGGUUUCCAAUAAGUCAAGCAGACAGUAGACUGUCAGUUCUUCUUCCCCCACCCCCACUCCAGCUCCCUGCCUCAGUGGUAUCUUGGAUGACUGAAGAAUCUUCACUAUAAUUAAGCAGUAUUGUUGGGUUGCGUUACCAUUAACGGAAGUCUAUGAAGAGUUCUCACUGCAUCAGUCUGAAGGGCUCUGAUUCCACCAUUCCAGCCCUGUCACGGUUAAUCUUGGGUUUGCCUCAGUGGGCUUUGGGAUAACUAUAGGAAUACUUCUCUUUGCAUGACUGUGGGGGAUCCUAUAGAUCAGGCGAACUGUGGUAGGAAGACCCACGUGGAUUGUGGGAAGCACCGAGCCCCAGCAGGCAUCCUGGGCUGAAGGAGAAGGGGAGUAAAGAGAAGAGAGCGAGAGAUUAAAAAAAAAACGAGGGUCUUUCUCGACUUCCGGCUGUGCACACAUUGUACCCAGCUGACUCAGGCUCCUGCUACCAGGACUCCCCUCCAUAAUGGGUUGCGUUCUGUGAACUCUGAGCUGAAAUAACCCUUUCAUCCAUCCACUCACUGCUGCCAAGGUACUGUAUACAGCAAUGAGUAAAUAAAGUAACCAAGGCAGGAACACCCUGGGACAGUCACAUCACCCUACAGUUUUCUUGGUCCUGUUUCUCUCUUCCUCAGGUCCCCACUACAAGCCCUGCUGACACCAACCUCGCUGUCAUCAUAGGUUUUAUUUCCAGGGUGUCAUGUCACUGGACUCACGCAGGCUGCAGCUUUCUGCCCCAUUCCUUCUGCUCAGCAGCAUGCAUUUAAGCCUCCGUUUCUUCCACAGUGGCUUGAAGGCUCAUUUCUUUUCAUCAAUGAGUAACAUUCCACUCUGGAUAUCUUACACUUUUAAAAAAAUCCUUUUGUCUUUCGUAGGACAUCUUUCAAGGUCUGUGGCCAUAGAUGUUGACCAAGUCUGGUAGACAUUUUAUAAAUCUACGCUGUGUCUCUGUAGGCUUAGAUUUUUCAAAACGUAUUUUUUAAAGUAAGUGUUCUUAAAUGCUUUAACCUCCCUUCUAGCCCACCACCUAACAGAGGUAGUGGAAAGGGAAGGUUAGGGCAAAGGAGGGUGUGGGCCUCUUUAGAAAUAGUUCUUUGGAGCAAGUCCGAUCUGCAUUGUCAGGAUAUCAGCAGCUCACUUCACACAA